rnacentral:lncRNA from 1 species
CAAGGACAGAAAUUCUGAAUUAAAAUGAGCACAUUUUGCUGAAUGGCGUAAAAAGAGAACGUCAAGGCAACAGCACCCACUUGAUACAUUUUCAGCAACUGCACAUCCACGAGGGCCAUACAGCUCUGAACAAGGCUCUGCUCUUGUUACACGCAAGUGUUCCUGAAAUUGCUGUUAAAAUACUCCCAUUCGUGCUUGGUGCUUGUGUUUCUAGGAGAUACCAUGGGAUGAGGAGAAAGGCACAGAGUGAAGACAAAGCAGUGAAGAGGAUGUUUGCCUCAAAGGUGAUAUCUGGGAAAUGA